UUCCAAAUGAUCAAACAAACAGG
rnacentral:snRNA from 1 species